GCGGGCACCGCGUUGGUGACCCCUGGUGUGUGUGUUUCAACCAGAAUGAACAAACGGUCCAACAUGGUCGUCACCAAAUGCUGAAAAGCUGAAUGUCUCCCCCGAACUCUCCAUUCUUGUUGUACUUGCAUCCUGCACUGGAUGCUAUGAGGCCAUGUUGCUUCAAUGGAAUGAAAGCUUUAUGACAGGCAAUACAUUAGAAAUGCAGUGUAGUACAUCAUCAAUUAUAGGCGUACAUAAUUGGGCUGUACUUACUAUGCUUUUCCUCCACAUUCUCACAUUUUUCGGCUUUCUUUGCAGAAGCAGACUGGAAGUGCCGGAACCACUCCUCUUUCUCCCGCCCCGUGUUGGCAAACAGAGUGAGGCGGAUGGGGUACUUUUUGUUCCAGACCUUCGUCGGAGCCAGAUCCGUGGGUUCAAGCGUGACCUAUAGUGGGAAGUCAACAUGGAUGACAUGGCAGGCAACUUUUCAUUGGUACGUUCAAUUAAGAGCAGAAAAAAACCUACCUCACAGUUGGCCAGCUGGUAAGUAUGGGAAUGCAUGAAUUUGCUCUCAUGGGGUACCCCGUCAGAUGUUUGGGGGUAUGACAAGCACAGCUCGCUGCUGUCCAGCCUGGCAAGUACGUGUUGGG